rnacentral:tRNA from 1 species
GAGUUAAGUUUACAGAAGGUUCUGUAGCCAAAUUGCAAAUUUGGUAAACUAAGGUUCGAUCCCUUCUUAGCUCU